rnacentral:rRNA from 1 species
GACGAACGCUGGCGGCGUGCCUAACACAUGCAAGUCGAACGAGGUCCAUCCUUCGGGAGAAGACCUAGUGGCGAACGGGUGAGUAACACGUGAAGAACCUGCCCCGAAGACCGGGAUAACCCUCCGAAAGGAGAGCUAAUACCGGAUACCCCCCACCGAACCGCAUGGUUUGGUGAGGAAAUGGAUUCCGCUUCGGGAGGGCUUCGCGGCCUAUCAGCUAGUUGGUGGGGUAACGGCCCACCAAGGCAUCGACGGGUAGCUGGUCUGAGAGGACGAUCAGCCACACUGGGACUGAGACACGGCCCAGACUCCUACGGAGGCAGCAGUGGGGAAUCUUGCGCAAUGGGCGAAAGCCUGACGCAGCAACGCCGCGUGGGGGAUGAAGGCUCUCGGGUUGUAAACCCUUUCAGCAGGGACGAAUCAAGACGGUACCUGCAGAAGAAGCCCCGGCUAACUACGUGCCAGCAGCCGCGGUAAU